CAGUAAACUACGUUUUAUAAAAUGCUUUCAUGUUUCAUAUACUGCUAGAUAAACAAAAUUGCUGACCACGGUACUAGUGUAAUUUAUUUGCUAAGUAAUCUAAAAGUCUAUAUAUUGUUUGCGUGAUUGAAUUUGGCCCAACGCGCCAGUCACUUCCUUCAAUUUGAGCUUGCAAUCCGCCAAUCCACAAGAUAGAAGAUUAAAGAAAAUCAUAUAGAAAAUAACUAUUGUAAGAGCAAUUAGUAAUUAAUAGACUACAUUCAUGCAUGUACUCGAUUAAAUCAUGUAGGCUAUUGUCCUGAAAGCCUUUCAGCCCGUUCUUUGUUAAUUAAUAUAGAAAACCAAAUAGAUGAAGAUGAACUCUUUGCUUUAACAGAAAGAGAAGACGUUCAGGACGAACGUCUUAUACUUGUGGUAGGUCAUAAAAUGAAAUUUUUUGUAGGCUCUGUUGGGGGAUUGUAAAAACAGGCUCUCGUCUUAGAGCCUGAUCGCAGGCUAAAUUCCAUAUUUAAUUUAAAAUUAAACUCCCAGCAAAAUAUACAAAAGGACUUGAGGUGAGUAUUUUACAUGUAUUAUCAUUGUAUUUUAUUAAUGUACUAUACCUUAGAAAGGUUGGGGUGAGGCAAACCCUUCGGCUUUGACAUUUUUCAUCACAUGAAUCAACAUUUUCAAAUUAAUAUAAUAAGGCACUUCAGUUCAGUAUUUUUAUGACUACAAACAAAUACUGUAAUGAAUUUGUAAAUUCGUUGUCCUCCCUGCCAAAGAUGGCUGAUGUUCUCCAGUUUCGAAGUUUGAACAACAUAUAUGUCUAUACUUUUGCACUCUGGUGUUGCUGUGCAAGUGUGGCGACAAGCCGCCUUUCGCCGGCACCCCUCUUUGGUGGCUGAUUAACAAAUUGGCCGCCUGAUAUUGGGGACUUGUAUAUAGACAUAUGUGUGCAUGACAUUAAAAAAAUGAAAGAUUUUUGGAAAUGAUUAAUUAACCUGGCAAUUUGAAAGAAAUAUAUAUUCUCCAGUUUCAAACAACAUAUAUGUCUAUACUUUUGCACUCUGGUGUUGCUGUGCAAGUGUGGCGACAAGCCGCCUUUCGCCGGCACCUCUCUUUGGUGGCUGAUUAACAAAUUGGCCGCCUGAUAUUGGGGACUUGUAUAUAGACAUAUGUGUGCAUGACAUUAAAAAAAUGAAAGAUUUUUGUAAAUGAUUAAUUAACCUGGCAAUUUGAAAGAAUUAUAUAUUCUCCAGUUUCGAACAACAUAUAUGUCUAUACUUUUGCACUCUGGUGUUGCUGUGCAAGUGUGGCGACAAGCCGCCUUUCGCCGGCACCCCUCUUUGGUGGCUGAUUAACAAAUUGGCCGCCUGAUAUUGGGGACUUGUAUAUAGACACAUGUGUGCAUGACAUUAAAAAAAUGAAAGAUUUUUGUAAAUGAUAAUUAACCUGGCAAUUUGAAAGAAUUAUAUAAUAUUCUCCAGUUUCGAACAACAUAUAUGUCUAUACUUUUGCACUCUGGUGUUGCUGUGCAAGUGUGGAGACAAGCCGCCUUUCGCCGGCACCCCUCUUUGGUGGCUGAUUAACAAAUUGGCCGCCUGAUAUUGGGGACUUGUAUAUAGACAUAUGUGUGCAUGACAUUAAAAAAAUGAAAGAUUUUUGGAAAUGAUUAAUUUACCUGGCAAUUUGAAAGAUUUAUAUAUUCUCCAGUUUAGAACAACAUAUAUGUCUAUACUUUUGCACUCUGGUGUUGCUGUGCAAGUGUGGCGACAAGCUGCCUUUCGCCGGCACCCCUCUUUGGUGGCUGAUUAACAAAUUGGCCGCCUGAUAUUGGGGACUUGUAUAUGGGCAUAUAUGUGCAUGACAUUAAAAAAAUGAAAGAUUUUUGGAAAUGAUUAAUUAAUCUGGCAAUUUGAAAGAAAUAUAUAUUCUCCAGUUUCGAACAACAUAUAUGUCUAUACUUUUGCACUCUGGUGUUGCUGUGCAAGUGUGGCGACAAGCUGCCUUUCGCCGGCACCCCUCUUUGGUGGCUGAUUAACAAAUUGGCCGCCUGAUAUUGGGGACUUGUAUAUGGGCAUAUAUGUGCAUGACAUUAAAAAAAUGAAAGAUUUUUGGAAAUGAUUAAUUAAUCUGGCAAUUUGAAAGAAAUAUAUAUUCUCCAGUUUCGAACAACAUAUAUGUCUAUACUUUUGCACUCUGGUGUUGCUGCGCAAGUGUGGCGACAAGCCGCCUUUCGCCGGCACCCCUCUUUGGUGGCUGAUUAACAAAUUGGCCGCCUGAUAUUGGGGACUUGUAUAUGGUCAUAUAUGUGCAUGACAUUAAAAAAAUGAAAGAUUUUUGGAAAUGAUUAAUUAACCUGGCAAUUUGAAAGAAUUAUAUAUUCUCCAGUUUCAAACAACAUAUAUGUCUAUACUUUUGCACUCUGGUGUUGCUGUGCAAGUGUGGCGACAAGCCGCCUUUCGCCGGCACCCCUCUUUGGUGGCUGAUUAACAAAUUGGCCGCCUGAUAUUGGGGACUUGUAUAUGGGCAUAUAUGUGCAUGACAUUAAAAAAUGAAAGCUUUUUGGAAAUGAUUAAUUAACCUGGCAAUUUGAAAGAAUUAUAUAUUCUCCAGUUUUGAACAACAUAUAUGUCUAUACUUUUGCACUCUGCAUGGUGUUGCUGUGCAAGUGUGGCGACAAGCCGCCUUUCGCCGGCACCCCUCUUUGGUGGCUGAUUAACAAAUUGGCCGCCUGAUAUUGCAUGGGGACUUGUAUAUAGACAUAUGUGCACGACAUUAAAAAAAUGAAAGUUUUUUUGAAAUGAUUGAUUAACCUGGCAAUUUGAAAGAAUUAUAUUCUCCAGUUUUGAGCAACAUAUAUGUCUAUACUUUUGCACUCUGGUGUUGCUGUGCGAGUGUGGCGAGAAGCCGCCUUUCGCCGGCACCCCUCUUUGGUGGCUGAUUUGCAUGGUGGGUGAUUAAUUGGGGACUACAGUUAUUGACAUAUAUGAAUAAUAUAAAAAUAUUUAAGUGUUUUAGAAAUGAUUAGGUAUAAAAACUCAUAUGAAACAUUAACCUGGAAAUUUGAAAGAAUAUUAUUCAGUCUAACUCUUAAAGUGGCAGUGUGUAUUUAUUUUAUUUAUUAUUUUAUAUUAUACUAUAUUGUUUAUUGUAUAUUAUACUAUAUGUGGUUUUGGCAUUUCCUUAUACUCAAAUAAUAACCAUGUGUAGUCCACUCUGCAAUAUUAAUGUAGUCCAUUCUGCAAUAUUAAUUUCUAAUUAUAUGUUCCUUCUAUUUAUGUAGGAAAGUUAAGAUGUAGACAGUUUCGUGUCAAGCAAAGAUCCAAAAGAAUUGCUAUUUCUUGUCUUGGUUGUCUGGCGACCGUUGAAUGCAAUUUUCCAAAUCUUUAUUGUCGCUGACUUGCUUACCAGUACUUUUUCGAGUUAAGACUUAAGGGUGGAAUUGUGGAACUGAUGGCAUGAACUCACAUUCUGAUUUCGAGAGGAAGUCAAUUAAUGAAAUUAGGAAUGACAUAUACUAGUAAUAUGAACUGAAUAAAAUCUGAACUCAGUAGGAGAGGGCAAUCUCUCUUGCACUGUAUAUACAGUAGGUAUCGUAUAUAGCUCAUUGCAGUAUUUGCAUCGGUUUGGUUCGAAUGUUGCAUCUUUACUCUGAACGGAGUGCAUGCGUACAACCAUGCAUGUAUUGUAGGUCAAAAUCACUUUGUUUGUUACUAACUGUAUAUGCUAAUAUAAUUUGUUCUAUAUAUUGGUAAAAUAUAUUAUUUUCACA